rnacentral:rRNA from 1 species
UACGUAGGGGGCAAGCGUUGUCCGGAUUUAUUGGGCGUAAAGAGCGUGUAGGCGGCUUGGUAGGUCCGCUGUGAAAACUCGAGGCUCAACCUCGAGACGCCGAUGGAAACCCUCCAGCUAGAGUCCGGAAGAGGAGAGUGGAAUUCCUGGUGUAGCGGUGAAAUGCGCAGAUAUCAGGAAGAACACCCGUGGCUAAGGCGGCUCUCUAGUACGGUACUGACGCUGAGACGCGAAAGCGUGGGGAGCGAACAGG